GACAGAGGGUGCAAACGUUGUUCGGAAUUACUGGGCGUAAAGCGCGUGUAGGCGGCUAUGUAAGUCGGGCGUGAAAUCCCACGGCUCAACCGUGGAAGUGCACCCGAAACUGCGUAGCUAGAGUCCUGGAGAGGAAGGUGGAAUGCUUGGUGUAGAGGUGAAAUUCGUAGAUAUUCGCAGGAACACCAGUGGCGAAGGCGGCUUACUGGUCCAUUACUGACGCUGAGGUGCGAAAGCGUGGGGAGCAAACAGG
rnacentral:rRNA from 1 species